UGGGGAAUCUUGCGCAAUGGGCGAAAGCCUGACGCAGCGACGCCGCGUGGGGGAAGAAGGCUUUCGGGUUGUAAACCCCUUUCAGGAAGGACGAAGCCACUCGGGUUAAUAGCCCAGAGGGUGACGGUACUUCCAGAAGAAGCCCUGGCUAACUACGUGCCAGCAGCCGCGGUAAUACGUAGGGGGCAAGCGUUGUCCGGAUUUAUUGGGCGUAAAGAGCGUGUAGGCGGUUUGGUAGGUCCGCUGUGAAAACUCGAGGCUCAACCUCGAGACGCCGGUGGAAACCAUCAGGCUAGAGUCCGGAAGAGGAGAGUGGAAUUCCUGGUGUAGCGGUGAAAUGCGCAGAUAUCAGGAAGAACACCCGUGGCUAAGGCGGCUCUCUAGUACGGUACUGACGCUGAGACGCGAAAGCGUGGGGAGCGAACAGGAUUAGAUACCCUGGUAGUCCACGCCGUAAACGAUGGGUGCUAGGUGUAGGGGGUGUCAACUCCCUCUGUGCCGAAGCUAACGCAUUAAGCACCCCGCCUGGGGAGUACGGCCGCAAGGCUA
rnacentral:rRNA from 1 species